rnacentral:rRNA from 1 species
AGGACGAACGCUGGCGGCGUGCUUAACACAUGCAAGUCGAGCGGUGAUCCUCCUUCGGGAGGUGAUCAGCGGCGAACGGGUGAGUAACACGUGGGCAACCUGCCCCUCACACUGGGAUAAACCUCGGGAAACCGGGCUAAUACCGGAUACGACCUCGAGCGGCAUCUCUUGAGGUGGAAAGCUCCGACGGUGAGGGAUGGGCCCGCGGCCUAUCAGCUUGUUGGUGGGUAAUGGCCUACCGAAGGCGACGACGGGUA